rnacentral:ncRNA from 1 species
AAGCGACUUUAGGGGUGCCGGAAAAGGCUGAGAUCAUACCCUUGGAACCUGAUUCAGUUAACACUGACGAAGGGAAAAGUUAAAGACCUCUC